rnacentral:rRNA from 1 species
GACAGAGGAGGCAAGCGUUGUUCGGAAUCAUUGGGCUUAAAGGGCGUGUAGGCGGCAACGCAAGUGUCGAGUGAAAUCCCAUCGCUCAACGAUGGAACGGCUCGGCAAACUGCGUGGCUUGAGGUCGGUAGAGGUGCUCGGAACUCUAGGUGGAGCGGUGAAAUGCGUAGAUAUCUAGAGGAACGCCUGAGGCGAAAGCGGGGCACUGGGCCGACACUGACGCUGAGGUGCGAAAGCGUGGGGAGCAAACAGG